rnacentral:rRNA from 1 species
CGGGGGGCGUGCUUACACAUGCAGUCGAACGAUGAACCACUUCGGUGGGGAUUAGUGGCGAACGGGUGAGUAACACGUGGGCAAUCUGCCCUGCACUCUGGGACAAGCCCUGGAAACGGGGUCUAAUACCGGAUACUGACCAUUGCAGGCAUCUGUGAUGGUCGAAAGCUCCGGCGGUGCAGGAUGAGCCCGCGGCCUAUCAGCUUGUUGGUGAGGUAGUGGCUCACCAAGGCGACGACGGGUAGCCGGCCUGAGAGGGCGACCGGCCACACUGGGACUGAGACACGGCCCAGACUCCUACCGGAAGGCAGCAGUGGGGAAUAUUGCACAAUGGGCGAAAGCCUGAUGCAGCGACGCCGCGUGAGGGAUGACGGCCUUCGGGUUGUAAACCUCUUUCAGCAGGGAAGAAGCGAAAGUGACGGUACCUGCAGAAGAAGCGCCGGCUAACUACGUGCCAGCAGCCGCGGUAAUACGUAGGGCGCGAGCGUUGUCCGGAAUUAUUGGGCGUAAAGAGCUCGUAGGCGGCUUGUCACGUCGGUUGUGAAAGCCCGGGGCUUAACCCCGGGUCUGCAGUCGAUACGGGCAGGCUAGAGUUCGGUAGGGGAGAUCGGAAUUCCUGGUGUAGCGGUGAAAUGCGCAGAUAUCAGGAGGAACACCGGUGGCGAAGGCGGAUCUCUGGGCCGAUACUGACGCUGAGGAGCGAAAGCGUGGGGAGCGAACAGGAUUAGAUACCCUGGUAGUCCACGCCGUAAACGGUGGGCACUAGGUGUGGGCAACAUUCCACGUUGUCCGUGCCGCAGCUAACGCAUUAAGUGCCCCGCCUGGGGAGUACGGCCGCAAGGCUAAAACUCAAAGGAAUUGACGGGGGCCCGCACAAGCGGCGGAGCAUGUGGCUUAAUUCGACGCAACGCGAAGAACCUUACCAAGGCUUGACAUACACCGGAAACGUCCAGAGAUGGGCGCCCCCUUGUGGUCGGUGUACAGGUGGUGCAUGGCUGUCGUCAGCUCGUGUCGUGAGAUGUUGGGUUAAGUCCCGCAACGAGCGCAACCCUUGUCCCGUGUUGCCAGCAGGCCCUUGUGGUGCUGGGGACUCACGGGAGACCGCCGGGGUCAACUCGGAGGAAGGUGGGGACGACGUCAAGUCAUCAUGCCCCUUAUGUCUUGGGCUGCACACGUGCUACAAUGGCCGGUACAAUGAGCUGCGAUACCGCGAGGUGGAGCGAAUCUCAAAAAGCCGGUCUCAGUUCGGAUUGGGGUCUGCAACUCGACCCCAUGAAGUCGGAGUCGCUAGUAAUCGCAGAUCAGCAUUGCUGCGGUGAAUACGUUCCCGGGCCUUGUACACACCGCCCGUCACGUCACGAAAGUCGGUAACACCCGAAGCCGGUGGCCCAACCCCUUGUGGGAGGGAGCUUCGAAGGGG